GACGAACGCUGGCGGCGUGCUUAACACAUGCAAGUCGAACGGAAAGGCCCUGCUUUUGUGGGGUGCUCGAGUGGCGAACGGGUGAGUAACACGUGAGUAACCUGCCCUUGACUUUGGGAUAACUUCAGGAAACUGGGGCUAAUACCGGAUAGGAGCUCCUGCUGCAUGGUGGGGGUGGGAAAGUUUCGGCGGUUGGGGAUGGACUCGCGGCUUAUCAGCUUGUUGGUGGGGUAGUGGCUUACCAAGGCUUUGACGGGUAGCCGGCCUGAGAGGGUGACCGGACACAUUGGGACUGAGAUACGGCCCAGCCUACUACGGGAGGCAGCAGUGGGGAAUAUUGCACAAUGGGCGGAAGCCUGAUGCAGCAACGCCGCGUGCGGGAUGACGGCCUUCGGGUUGUAAACCGCUUUCGCCUGUGACGAAGCGUGAGUGACGGUAAUGGGUAAAGAAGCACCGGCUAACUACGUG
rnacentral:rRNA from 1 species